CCAGCAGCCGCGGUAAUACGGAGGGUGCGAGCGUUAAUCGGUAAUUACUGGGCGUAAAGCGCAUGCAGGUGGUUUGUUAAGUCAGAUGUGAAAGCCCGGGGCUCAACCUCGGAAUUGCAUUUGAAACUGGCAAACUAGAGUACUGUAGAGGGGGUAGAAUUUCAGGUGUAGCGGUGAAAUGCGUAGAGAUCUGAAGGAAUACCGGUGGCGAAGGCGGCCCCCUGGACAGAUACUGACACUCAGAUGCGAAAGCGUGGGGAGCAAACAGGAUUAGAUACCCUGGUAG
rnacentral:rRNA from 1 species